GAGCCCUUAUCCUGUUUGGGAGUUGAAAUAUACAUCUUCUCUGUCUGUAGGGUGCAGCAUUAAGGGAGCGACCUCCAAGAGUUUCCAAUGGGCUUCUGAUUGGUCAAAAUUCUGGAAUUUCCUCUCUAAUGGCACUGUGGCUAUGUAAUAGACUGUAAUGGCUCAAGAACGUAGCUCACCACCAAGAUCAAUUUGGGAUAAGUGAACAAAUGCUGGUCCAGCUAGUGACGCCCACAUCCCAUUUCCCUGGAAUUAUGUAGGAAUAAUAUGGGUACUGAGGACACUUCAUCAAUAACGCCCUGCUGUUGUCAAUAGAUAAGAGCAGACUUGUGAUACCGUUUUGAACAAUUCACACGAGACUUGACUGCACACAGCAUCAUAACAGGUAGUCCCACAUUUCAUUUAUGAGAAAAAUGAAUUGAUCCAAAGACAAAACAAGUGUGCAGAUAGCAUCUUCUGUGGGAAAUGAUGGGAGGAAAAAGGAGUUAUGAAGAGGUCCACAGCUGACAAAGAUAAUGGAGAAUUGUGACAUUGAAAGUGCAAACCACAAGCAC